ACUGUUGAGGCUGCCGAGCCAGGAGCGGAUGGCCGGGUGGCUGCGGGCCUUCUGCAGGUCCACCACGUUCUGACCCAGCAGCGUGGUCACGUGGC
rnacentral:pre_miRNA from 13 species